rnacentral:rRNA from 1 species
ACAAUGGGGGGUACAGCGGGAUGCCACGCGGCGACGCGGCGCGGAACCCGAAAUCCCCCUCAGUUCGGAUCGGAGUCUGCAACCCGACUCCGUGAAGCUGGAUUCGCUAGUAAUCGCGCAUCAGCCAUGGCGCGGUGAAUACGUUCCCGGGCCUUGUACACACCGCCCGUCAAGCCAUGGGAGCCGGGAGUGCCUGAAGUGCGUGACCGUAAAAGGAGCGCCCUAGGGCAAGACCGGUGACUGGGGCUAAGUCGUAACAAGGUAAC